UACGUAGGGGGCAAGCGUUGUCCGGAUUUAUUGGGCGUAAAGAGCGUGUAGGCGGCCUGGAAGGUCAGCUGUGAAAACUCGAGGCUCAACCUCGAGACGUCGGUUGAAACCACCUGGCUAGAGUCCGGAAGAGGAGAGUGGAAUUCCCGGUGUAGCGGUGAAAUGCGCAGAUAUCGGGAAGAACACCCGUGGCGAAGGCGGCUCUCUGGGACGGUACUGACGCUGAGACGCGAAAGCGUGGGGAGCGAAUGGG
rnacentral:rRNA from 1 species